rnacentral:rRNA from 1 species
UACAGAGGUCCCAAGCGUUGUUCGGAUUUACUGGGCGUAAAGGGUGCGUAGGUGGUUGGGUAAGUUUGAUGUGAAAUCUCCGGGCUUAACCCGGAAAUGGCAUUGAAUACUAUUCGGCUAGAGGUUUGGAGGGGGGACUGGAAUUCUUGGUGUAGCAGUGAAAUGCGUAGAUAUCGGGAGGAACAUCAGUGGCGAAGGCGGCUACCUGGCCCGAUACUGACGCUGAGGUGCGAAAGCGUGGGGAGCAAACAGG